AGUGGGGAAUAUUGGACAAUGGGCGCAAGCCUGAUCCAGCCAUGCCGCGUGAGUGAUGAAGGCCUUAGGGUUGUAAAGCUCUUUUGUCCGGGAAGAUAAUGACUGUACCGGAAGAAUAAGCCCCGGCUAACUUCGUGCCAGCAGCCGCGGUAAUACGAAGGGGGCUAGCGUUGCUCGGAAUCACUGGGCGUAAAGGGCGCGUAGGCGGACUCUUAAGUCGGGGGUGAAAGCCCAGGGCUCAACCCUGGAAUUGCCUUCGAUACUGAGAGUCUUGAGUUCGGAAGAGGUUGGUGGAACUGCGAGUGUAGAGGUGAAAUUCGUAGAUAUUCGCAAGAACACCAGUGGCGAAGGCGGCCAACUGGUCCGAUACUGACGCUGAGGCGCGAAAGCGUGGGGAGCAAA
rnacentral:rRNA from 1 species